UACGUAGGGUGCGAGCGUUAAUCGGAAUUACUGGGCGUAAAGCGUGCGCAGGCGGCCGCGCAAGUCGAGUGUGAAAGCCCCGAGCUUAACUUGGGAACUGCGCUCGAAACUACGUGGCUGGAGUGUGGCAGAGGAAGGUGGAAUUCCACGUGUAGCGGUGAAAUGCGUAGAGAUGUGGAGGAACACCAGUGGCGAAGGCGGCUUCCUGGACCGGUUCUGACACUGAGGAGCGAAAGCGUGGGGAGCGAUCCGG
rnacentral:rRNA from 1 species